CUCCUGGCCGAAGAAAUGCACACCCUUCAUUUGGCUAAAAGAAAGAAUUUCCAAUAUUCAUAAAGAAAACACAACUUGUGGGUUCUCCAAGCAGGAGAGGAAAAAUCAUGUUCCAGUCUAUUCCUGUAACUAAUGAAGGGCUCAGGUUUCAAAGGUAAGUUAAUUGUCAGACCCACUUUAUUGUACCCAGUGUCCUUGGGAAACAUAAUUAUUUAUUGGAAAUAUGUCACAACUAACAUAAGUCUUAAAAAUUUGUUAAAUUAGAAACAAAAUAUUGUAUUUGCUGAUAUGUUAAAACAUAAGGGCCUAACAUUUAGAAUUGCACUUCUCAUACUCACAACAUGUACUCAAAAUGCUGUUAACAUCUACUUUGAUGAUUGUUUUGGGUUUACUUGAAUCUAAUGUUUCCAUUUAAUAAUUCCUUUUUUUUCCCCUUUCCUUUUUUCAAUCAAUCCUUUCUCUUUUCUAUGUUCUAUAUUCAUGUUAUCUUAGAAUUCCAUUUUGGCCUUCUAGGUUCUUUACUUCUUCCUCCAGCCUGUCAUUUUCAUGUCUUCAGUGAUUUCUCAGACUUCUCACAGAAAGUUAACCAUUUUUGUGCA
rnacentral:lncRNA from 10 species